ensembl:lncRNA
GACAUAUUGGUAAAUAGAGCAGCAUUUAAAUAUCCCUUUCAUUGCUGGUUUAAAGACAACCCUUUGUGUGUGCGUGCGUGCGUGCGUGUUGCGUGCGUGUGUGCGUGUGCGUAGCAUAUGUGCUAACAUCUCGUUUCGUGACUUGUUAUUCCAUUUCUCCCUGUUACCAUUAUUUAUGAGAUCGGCUCAUGAUUUGGUUUUACAUACACUCUUAGAUACACUCUUACAUACACUCUUAGAUACACUCUUACAUACACUCUUAGAACUCUAGCCGGGAAUACAUUUAAUCAUAAUGUGUUUGUUUUUUUUACUGCUGGAAGCAAACAAUUUUCAUUUAGCUUUUGUGGCGUAUGACUCAGCAUUACACAGGAACAGUACUGUGAGUGAGCAAACAAGCACUGGCUUUGGACGAGAUCUAAUGAAAUUACAGUGUUUUGUGGGAAUGUAAGAGGAGGAAAGAAGGCUAUGGAGGGUAACCAUUUGUAUUGCGUGAGAUAUGACGUGUACGGGCCAUCAAGCAAAGUGGAUCACAGGAAAUUCAACUCGAAAAGCACAGGAAACAGGAUUUGAAUUUUUAUUUCUGGGUAGAAAUAGAUUUUAUUACAAUUCAUGCAAUAUUUUGAAAAACUUUUAUUUCUUACAGAAAUUUGUAGAAGUGAUUGCUUUGGUGAUUGUAAAUAACUAGCUUUGACUGAUCAUGGUUUGUUUCUUACAAAAGGGCCAAAACUAUCUACAGUACCAUAUGGUAUAUUGCUUACCAGGCUGUCCGUGAUCCAGUCAAACUCAACACUCAUGUCCUGUUUACGUGAACAUCAAUCCCUUACAGCACACACUGACCCCAGAGAGUCCAGAUAAUCCCAUCCCAUUCAAGGCUUUGAACUCUUGCAGGACUGGCAGGCAGAGGGGUUUGCACGCUGAUCUUUCGCAUCAACCAUCACUGCACUACAGACUGCAAAUAAUCGAUACGUAUCAUUUUGAAUGGUGUGACCAGGACCUUGUGACUACAGAGAGAGUAUGUGUACUACAACACCUGGUCGAAGCAAGCCGCUCUGUCGUUAAAAGUGUUUUGUGGAGCCGCGCUGUUUGUUGAUGUGUUAAAUAAACACAUCAGUAGCAAGAGGGAGUUUUGUAGCUUUACUGCGGGUGAAAAGGAACUCUGGAGCCUGAGAUGAAGCGGAUGUUCAGUGUGAUCUAUAUCCACCUUUAAAUGAACAGACACGCACCAACAGAGGCAAAGACCGACAACGAAAGAUGCACAGACACGCACACGAACAGACAAGCAGACGCACAAAUGCAGACGCAAGCAGGCACGCGGACAGACGCACACAGAGACAAGCAGUCCACCUCCCGCUCCUUUCAUGGGCACCUCUUACCUACACCUGGUUGUAGUGUCAUUGAUUGGACCACCUGACAUCAAUUACCCACUUUGGAAGUCAUCGUUAUCACAGAGAUACACAUACUUUUUCCAGGCUAAGCUGUUUAUGUUUGACCAAUGUGUUCAAUAAAACUACACAUUUCUGUGUGGUAUUUUUUAAAUAACAGUGAUAAUGUAUUAUUAUGACUUGGAUGUAAAUCAGGAUGCAUUUUAGUCAGUUAUGCAGGUAAUUCAGAAGAACUUACAACCUUUUAUCGCAAAUGUACCUGUUAGCCACAAUAUUCCAAGUUUGAAAGCAAAUGGUUUUGAUGGCAUGGGGCCCAUAUGGAUACACAUGAUACAGUACACCAUUUCUUGGGUGUGGUUUUGGCUCAGCAGCAAGUCAAAACCUAGUCAGAGCAUCUAGAUCUUCU